rnacentral:rRNA from 1 species
UACGAAGGGGGCUAGCGUUGUUCGGAAUUACUGGGCGUAAAGGGCGCGUAGGCGGCCUUCUAAGUCAGACGUGAAAUCCCCCGGCUUAACCUGGGAACUGCGUCUGAUACUGGGAGGCUCGAGUAUGGGAGAGGGAUGUAGAAUUCCAGGUGUAGCGGUGAAAUGCGUAGAUAUCUGGAGGAAUACCGGUGGCGAAGGCGGCAUCCUGGACCAUUACUGACGCUGAGGCGCGAAAGCUAGGGGAGCAAACGGG